AUUGAACGCUGGCGGCAUGCCUUACACAUGCAAGUCGAACAGCAGCACGGGAGCAAUCCUGGUGGCGAGUGGCGAACGGGUGAGUAAUAUAUCGGAACGUGCCCAGUCGUGGGGGAUAACGUAGCGAAAGCUACGCUAAUACCGCAUACGAUCUAUGGAUGAAAGCGGGGGAUCGCAAGACCUCGCGCGAUUGGAGCGGCCGAUAUCAGAUUAGGCAGUUGGUGAGGUAAAGGCUCACCAAGCCGACGAUCUGUAGCUGGUCUGAGAGGACGACCAGCCACACUGGAACUGAGACACGGCCCAGACUCCUACGGGAGGCAGCAGUGGGGAAUUUUGGACAAUGGGCGCAAGCCUGAUCCAGCAAUGCCGCGUGCAGGAUGAAGGCCUUCGGGUUGUAAACUGCUUUUGUACGGAACGAAACGGCGAGCUCUAAUACAGUUUGCUAAUGACGGUACCGUAAGAAUAAGCACCGGCUAACUACGUGCCAGCCGCCGCAGUAA
rnacentral:rRNA from 1 species